rnacentral:rRNA from 1 species
UACGUAGGGGGCAAGCGUUGUCCGGAGUUACUGGGCGUAAAGCGCGCGCAGGCGGCGGUGCUGGCCCGGCGUGAAAGCCCCCGGCUCAACCGGGGAGGGUCGUCGGGGACCGCACCGCUUGAGGGCGGUAGGGGCUGGUGGAAUGCCUGGUGUAGUGGUGAAAUGCGUAGAGAUCAGGCGGAACACCCGUGGCGAAGGCGGCCAGCUGGGCCGUCCCUGACGCUGAGGCGCGAAGGCGUGGGGAGCGAACGGGG